UACGUAGGGGGCCAGCGUUGUUCGGAAUUACUGGGCGUAAAGGGUUCGUAGGCGGUGUGGCAAGUUGGGUGUGAAAUCUCUGGGCUCAACCCAGAGACGGCUUCCAAAACUGCCGUGCUUGAGUGUGGGAGAGGCUCGUGGAAUUGCAGGUGUAGCGGUGAAAUGCGUAGAUAUCUGCAGGAACACCCGUGGCGAAAGCGGCGAGCUGGACCACUACUGACGCUGAAGAACGAAAGCGAGGGGAGCAAACAGG
rnacentral:rRNA from 1 species